rnacentral:rRNA from 1 species
UAGGGAAUCUUCGGCAAUGGACGAAAGUCUGACCGAGCAACGCCGCGUGAGUGAAGAAGGUUUUCGGAUCGUAAAACUCUGUUGUUAGAGAAGAACAAGGACGUUAGUAACUGAACGUCCCCUGACGGUAUCUAACCAGAAAGCCACGGCUAACUACGUGCCAGCAGCCGCGGUAAUACGUAGGUGGCAAGCGUUGUCCGGAUUUAUUGGGCGUAAAGCGAGCGCAGGCGGUUUCUUAAGUCUGAUGUGAAAGCCACCGGCUCAACCGGGGAGGGUCAUUGGAAACUGGGAGACUUGAGUGCAGAAGAGGAGAGUGGAAUUCCAUGUGUAGCGAUGAAAUGCGUAGAUAUAUGGAGGAACACCAGUGGCGAAGGCGGCUCUCUGGUCUGUAACUGACGCUGAGGCUCGAAAGCGUGGGGAGCAAACAGG